AUGUCAGGAUUAAUGUCAGACAACUUUGUGUUUGCUUCUAGUAUUUUAUUCUUUCCAGGAUUUGACUAAAGUCAUAUAUAUGGCUUCUUUUCCUUACUGUUCUGAUUUCUGUUUGUUUCAUAACAUGAGAUGCCUAGAAUUGUUUCUUUUCAAUUCCCUCACUCCAUAGUUAUUGCCUCAGACACUUUAUAUCCCCUCAAAGGAGAAAAAUCAGGAGUGUCUCUUCAGCAUAGUGAAUGGGUUGUGGUAUUUCUUUGAGGCCAGAGUGGGUGUGUUUGCUUAGUAUGCCACACAGGAAAUUCCUUAAAUAUGAGAGAUGCCUAAAGCCCAGUGAGAGAAGAACAUCUUAGAUUUCUGAGUGGCCAUUUGAUGUUGUUUUGCCAUAUGUUUGUUUAUGUAGCUGUCAUUUGCCAUUUGGAAUGCCUCACUGAGGAGUUUCUUUGCUUCCUGAGUAGAAAGUCUCCAAUUUAGGAAAGUGUCCACCAUUCCUAUUUCCAGAACAAAGUAAUUAUUAAAAAAAAAAGUAAUGUAUGUGAGACAUUAGGGAUUAAUAGGUCAGAAUAACUAGCUAGCACAUAGCAAUAAGGUUUAUUAGUGAAAACUUAAUAAGUGUUUGAAUUCACAGCUUAAUUAUAACUGUGAUGGCUAUGACAGUACUGCUGUGGAAUUCUCUGAGUAUCUAACAAGUUUAAUUUAAAAAUAAAAGUUAAAAAAUUAUAACAUAAGCUCUUACAAUACAGUGAAAAUAAAUAUUUAAUAGACUUAGCAUUGCCACAUACAACAGCUCUGCAGAGACUAAGAUGGGGUCUAAUUAUAUAAAGUAGAAACAUUUCACUGACUAUAUUCAUUAAAGUGCAGAUUUGAAUUCCAGUUAUAGAAAUGUAUUUUUAAAUCUAGUUGAAAUUUUUCAUCACCAUAAAACAGCCUCAGAUAACCUAAAAUUGAGAACUAAUUUGUGGCUGGAUUUCUAGGGUCUUGAUAUAUGUCACGAUCCUUAAAAGGAGAAAUUAUGUUGUUAUUAUUUUAUUUUUAUUUCUGCAUUUGCAAAGAUAUUGAAAAUUAAGGAAGUGAAGUUUAGAUACUGAUAAAAUUGGGACUUUCCUCUGGUUGCAGUGGCAAUUCAGAGCUGAGUUUCAGAUCUGACUAUAUGGAGAUAAUGGGAAUCUUAUGCAAUAAUUUGGUUUUAGAAGAGUCUAGCUAGACUUAAAGACAGAAAAUUAGUUCCUUUCAUUGGGGGCAGGGCUAGGUUAGUCAGAAAAUCCAAAAGAGUUCAAGAUUCUGGUUUUGGACCUUUUUAUUUAACCUUCUGUUAAUGCACAGAAAUUCUUUUAGAUUGUCUAAUGCUUAUCUUCAGUCAAGUAGAAAAGCUGUUCUUGAGUGAACAAAAAUUAAUAUUUAUGAGGAGGUUAAUUUUUCUCUAUGUUGCUGUUUAUUAAGGGUUCAGUGUAUGUGUGUGUGUCUUUUUUCUUUAUUAAUGAGGCUUUAAAAUGAGGCUUGAUACGACCUUUGUAAGAAGACCCCAGUACAUGUGGGCUUUGGUAUGGAAAAUAGCUGCACCUGAGAAGAAAAAAUCCAGAGAGGUUAGGUUAAUUUUAAAGUAGUGAUGCUAUGUUAGGUUCUACUAGCUGCUUUUAUCUAUACAAAGAGAAGAAAGAUUUUUUCUUACUGUAGUACUGGUGAAAACAGAGUUGAAAGUGGAUGUUACAAAAUACAUGUUCCUGCACGUUAGAAUGUGGUGCAAAAUCCAGUCAGGAGUCAUAGCUCCAUUUUCCCAUUGUACCUGCUGCUGCUGAGUCCAGCAUUUGCUCUGGAAUCAGAUGGGCUUGUUUUCUCUGUGUAAAUUUGUACAUGGCAAUAGUAUCUGCAGCCGAAUUGAAUUUUGGUAAACUUUGAAAGAUGGAAGGUCAUUUUUGAAAAUUCAGAGUAUUUGUAGAAUAAAAACAAACCAACAAAAGCCAAUUUAAUAAAUGUUAGGUUAUUGACUAAUAAGACUACUUAGAACAUAGAUAUUCGGCCUUUCAUUUGGACUGCAUUUUGUUGAAAAAUUAAAAAAAAAAGCAAAGUUUUUAUAUACAGUAGUUGACCUGAGUCUAGAAUGGAGUGACUGUUGUUUUAACCUGAGAACUAUAGGGACAGUUUUCAGUGUCACAAGGAUUUAAAUUUACUGUGUGACAAUGAGAUGGCUGUGACUGAGAGCUGUCCUAGCAUUUGCUUCUUCACAGUGGGACCAGAAGUGAUGGUGCUGAAGGGAGCUUUCCAGGUUGCUGUGCAUUUCUGGGUCACAGCCCUUUUUAGGUACUUGAAAGUGCUGUAAGGUCUCUCUGGAGUUUUCUCAAUGCUGAACAGCCCCAACUCUCUCAGCCUGUCAUCAUAGGAAGGGUGUUCCAGCCCUCUGGUCAUCUUCAUGGCCCUCCUCAGAUCCUCUCCAGUAGGUGCAUGUACCUCUUCUGUUGGGGAUCCCAGAGCAGGAUGCGGCACUCCAGGUGGGGACUCACAACAGUGAGUAGAGGGGCAGAAUCCUCUCCUUGCCCUGCUGCCCACACUGCUUUGGAUGCAGCCCAGGGCAUGGUUUGCUUUCUGGACUACAGGUGUGCUUUGCUGGCUCAUGCUGAGCAUUUCCUCAACCUGGGAAAGUCCCUGGGGCUGCUCUCAGUCCAUUCUCUGCCCAGCCUGUCUUGGUGCUUCGGAUUGCCCGAUCCAGAUGCAGGAUUUUGCACUUGACUGUGUUGAACUUCAUGAGGUUUGCACAGAUCUCUCUGGAUGGCACCCCUGCCCUGCAGCUUGUUGGCCACACCACACAGCUUGUUGUCAUCUGUGAACUUGCUGAGAAUGACCUGAUCCCCCAGUCCCUGUCACUGACAUUGAACAGCUCUGGUCCCACUGAGACCACAUAACACCACUUGUCACUGGUCUCCACUUGGACAUUGAACAGCUGACCACAGCUCUUUUAGUGCCACCACACAGCCAAUUCCUUGUCCACUGACAGUUUGGGACUACAUUUGUCGCCAUACAUUUCAUUUCAUUUCAUUUCAUUUCAUGAAAUUUGCCAAAGCCUGGGUUUUUUACCUUGGGAAUGGACAUGGCAAUGCUCUUGGCUUGGUAUCUUUAGAAGACCCAUUCUAUACAUGGUAGCAGAUAGUGCAUUACACCUGCAAACUGGAUAAAUUUCUUCUGAGGAUCCAUAAAGGUGGUUGCCCUCCCAAUCUGGUUUAGGAUCUGAAAAUUCUGAGAGGUUUUAGAAAGGUUUUUAAAGCUAAAACUGGGCUCACAGAAAAAGAAUCCAUGAUUAUCUAUUUUUGUGAUGGAGGUGUCUGACUAAAAGUUAAUUAUAGCUCAGCCACAGAAAUCAGAUAGUAGAUCUAGCAGCUAAAGGCUGAAACCUUUUUGUCAGUGCUUAGUCUUUGUCACACAUUUUCGGUUUGUCUCUGGCAUGACUGAAGUGAAACCAUGAUCCUAUUGUAGGCAAUCCUUUGUAGUAUGUAGACAGUCUGGUUCCAGGAGGAGAUCCAAGGUGGGGUCAGCAUUUCUCCCUACUGCUGCUGAAUUUUUCUGGUCAUCACUGACACUGGAAGAUGCUUUCUCCAUCCUAAGCCUUGUGAGAAAAGCUCUUCAGCUUUGAGCAAGUGUGCUCUCUUACUCUGCUGAGUACACCUGAAGCAGUAUGUUUGGAAGCUGGCUGCUUGUUGAUGGCAGAACUGCCUAGUUUUUUAUAUAUGACUGGAAUCAUUGUAUGCUGCAUCACCACAAACCAGCUUUGCCACUAGACAAGGUUAGCAAUAAUAUGUUUUGUCUAGCAAUGUAUGGAUUUGGUGCCAGACUGUGGAAAGGUAAUUUUGCAAAGUGCAUUAGGUAUGUUUAAUGCCCCUCAUAGCCUUUGCUGUUGCAGCUUCUGAGUUGCCAUUUUGUUCUCUUUAGCUGGAAUCUCUUUUGAUAAUGCUAAGAUCUCAAUUUAAAAUGUCUGGUGCUUCUUCCCCUUCUGUCUUGCUCCUUUCCUUAGAGAUAAGAACAUAAUGCUCAUACUGGGGCAGCAAACAUGCUGUGAAGUAGAUGCUGGAGUAAGUGCAGAGGACACUAAACUGAAGUUUUUAAAAUUUUCCCUGAAAUUUGAGACCUCAGGUUUUGGUUUGUGUGUUCUUUGAACGCCUAAGAAAUUACAGGGCUUAAGUUGGCUUGUUUUUUAAAUUUUACUGCAUCCUUCAAGGGAUGGAGUCUAAUUGUAACCCAUUGAAAUAAAUUUGGGAAAUGGUAAGCUCUUGAAUUAUUGUAUCUCCAUUCUGUACAUGCAUAGCUCCAGUUGGUCCCUGCUCUGUGUGUGGGAGGAUACCAAGGCAGAAUGCUGCAAAGCAGUAAGUACUCAUCUACAGUGUCAGACUGAACAGCCUCAAUUACACUGGGACUAAGUACAUACUAGGGUAUUCUAUUUUGAAGUUUAACUCAUGAUUGCACUUCAAAGAACCAUAUAUUGCAGCAAUUUGGUACUUUUAACACAGCUAGAAUAGUAAGACUGGGUAUAUCCAUUAGUAGAAGCAAAUAAAAAUCAGAGUGAGAUGAAAUAGGAGUACUUGAAAAUGUGAUUAGAUAUAUCUGUUGAGGUUUCUAAAGAUUAGUGUCUGGUCUACAGAGAGCUGGCUGAGUACAUUGUACUACUUCCUUCUUUCAGAUAUUAUUUUGAAUGAAAAGGAGCUAAAAUUAAAUAUUUCUUAGAUCAACAGUCCUGUAGUUAAUCUGGUUAAUGCUGAUUUUUUCAUGAUUGUAAGGAGGACUGAAGGUCUUAAGAUAGCUAGUGAAUAUUAAAUCUACUUUAUUAAAAUGUGUGACCUAGAAUCAAAAACUUCACAAAUUUCUGGGGAAUUAUUUUGAUUUUAUUGUUUUUAGUACAAGGAAUCUUUUCUUCUGUAAGACAGAAUUCCUGGGUGCAAAUGUUAUUGCAGACAUGAUUGGCUUUUUGUAAGAGGUAGCAAAAAUAAACUUUUUCCAGGAGAGUUUUUUAGAUAUUUCUUCUUUUUUCCCCAAUUAUCCUAUACAAUACUCAUUAGCAAAACAAGAAGCUGCAUACCUACCCUCAUUAAAAUCUAAACAUGGUAAUUUACUAAAUAUAGAAAUAUAUAUCUUUAUGUAAAAGGGUGCCAACUUUCUUUAAUAUAUUAAUAUAAGGACUAAACCUGAUGUUAAAGAAAAAGCUGUUAGAAAAUUGCUUUUGGUGGGAAUUUGUGCCAUCAAAGGUAUUGUGUAUAGUUUUGAAUAGCUAUUGAAUAUUGUAUUUAAAACCAAGGUCUUGACCAAACUGAACUUGCAAAUAAAGAUAAAUUCUUAAAAGGAGUCUUUCCACUUGUGGUCUAGUGUAAAGAAUAGACAAGUAGCAGAAAGAGAUCUUGGUUGGACUGUUCUUUCAUUCCUUUAGUGCUCAGUUACCAUGGUGCUGUAGCAGGAGACCAGAGCUACAGGGGAAGUGGUGCUGGUGUUGUGACGCCAUUGUUUAGGUUUUUCACGAGUUUCCAAUACAAACAAUUUACAUUUCCUUUUGUAAUAGCUCUGUAGGAUUUUUUUCAAAUACUAGGAGGGAUGCUUCCCAUGUAGAAGAAUAUAUUGAAGAAGUCUUUAUAGACUAUUGUGUUUUGUCCAUAGCUACUGCAGGAACUACACAGCUUGCUUUCAAGGCCAGCAGUUUGCUAACACAGCAGACAGGCAGCUUGUCAGUUCAAGCCAGUAAUUUAAAUCUUUGGUGCUAGUCAAAGCUGUCAACUUAAUAACAGCUUACUGCAUAAACAAGCUGGAGGGCUUACUUUAGGUCAUUAGUAUGGGAAGUUUCACGUACUGAAUUGAUGUUUAUCACUGCAGAUUAUUUGAAAAGCAAGGCUUGUUUGAAGGAAAGGUAGUAGUGCUUUGUGUUUACAGCUGUGGUCAUGGCAGUGGGUAGUAAAAGUCACUUCAGAUAUGAAGUAGUAUUAGAGAAGUUUUGAUUUUUGAAGAAGAGGAGGGUCAUCUGGUUGGGUUUGGGUUGUGUUUUUAAAGGCACACAGGGCGGAGGGAGCAGAUUGGCAUGUUAGUCAUCUUGAUGUGCCAUAGCAUGAAAGAUCUGCUUUGCAAGGCCUUCUCUCACCACUGAGAUGGGUGAAGGAAGUUCAUGGCAAGUUGAGUGAGUAAUGGAGCAUAUACAGUGAUUUGGCUACCAUGAUCCAGUACACUGGGGACUCAUACACAUCAGAGUCAUCUGAAUUCUUGGUAAUACUACAUAAAAAAUAAUCAGUACUUCAUGGUUUUAUGCCACUUUUUCCCCAGAGCCACCAAAAUGUUUCAUCAGCAGUAGAGCAAAAGAUCUCUCUGGUUUAAGUAGUGUAUAUAUGGGGAUUAUUUUUUUUACCUCAAAACAGUUAUCCCUUAGGGCAAUGAGUAAGAUACACACUCUCCUGUUUGAAGUAAAAAGUGAAGAGCAGUGAAGUGCUAUGAAGCUUUCAGUGGUUGUGACUUGGGAGUUGGGUUUUGUCUUGUUCACUGAUUGCAGUCAGUCACAACCCCUGCACUGUCAGGAAUUGUAGCAAGAUACUGGCUCACUGCUUUGGAGCUGUGGUGUUUUGAGUCUGCCAGUCCUUAUGGAGGCUUAAUGGGUUUCUGGUGGCCAGUUUUAUUACAGGACUGACUGGCAAAAGUCCUCACUAAUUUGUAAAGCUGAACAGGAUUGUGCCAUAAGGUUUUAGUGAGAGGAAAUUUGCCUGUAUAUUUAGAAAUACGAAGAUAUUUUAAACAUUGAACAGUUUGACUACAACUGUUACAGCAUUCCUUAAACAGUAAAAAAAAGCAUCUAUACUGUCUAGAAGUAUUAAUUAUUGAAAACAGGAGCAUCUACUAUAUAAUGAACUGCAGUUAUGCUGCUAAAAUAAAUUCAUAUUUUGUAGUUAUCAAUUUUCUUUAGAUUAGAUUCAGGACUAAUUGCAUGCAUUUUGCUGUGGAUUGAUAUUUCAAAGGGAGAUUGUUCUUCCUUUUUUCUUGUCUGGAAUUUGCUUUAUGUAUCUCUUAAAUUUUUUAAUAAGUAAAAUAUGCCUGAACAGAUGAUGUGUUCUAGUUAGCCAUAUAUAGCUACACUAAAGAUCUGAAAGUUCCCUUGUUAAAUGUCUUAAAUAUUUAAUUUCUUUUCUGUAUAAGCAAUUUUAAAGUUUUUGUUACAUGAAGAGUUGCCUAUAUCCUCUCUUACUAUUUUGAUUUUUAAAAACUAAAUAAAUAAAAUAUAGAGAUUCAUUUUCUGACUGAAGAUGUGGGAUGAUGGGAAAUGUACAGCUGCUUAAUAUGUUUUCAGAAAUCAGGCUGCAGAAUAAAAAAAGUAAAUACUGUCAGAAACAUGGAAGAAAACAUUAUUUAAGCCUUUUAUGUUCUGGUCAAUGCAGAUGAAGUCAUGUACAUUCUUUUACAUAAUGUGCUCCUUUAAUGGUCCUGCUGGAAAUAGACUUCUUGGCAGCUGUACAGUGCAGAACAAGAUGGAUAAAGUUCUGUUCCUGUUUCAAAAUGCUGUAAGUGUGAGCAUGUCAGAAUUGUAGUAAGACAAAUUCAGUCUUUUUUCCUUUUCAGUUCCAUCCAUUUAAUGUUAGUUAAACGAUCUGUUAAAUUAAUAAGGGCACAUCUGAAAAAAAACAUCAUUUGUCAGUAGUUUUUGGAGUGAAAUCCUCUGGAUCCUGACCCUGCUGAGGAGAUGGAAGGGUGUAGUGCUGAGAACGAUGAGUCCAUGGUGAAAAACUGCAUUUAACUCCUUUAUUUCUUUGUGAAGACCUUGUUGGAAUUCUGCAAAACCUUAAUCACAUAGGUUUCUUAGGUGCUGGAAACAUGUAUACUUGUAGCCAUGGGAUCAAUUGUUGUCUUUUGGGUUCUGUUUUAGCAAAGUAAGUGUGCAUCAUUUCAUCCUGCUUAAGCAAAGCAUUAACAUCUAUGGUAUGUGAUACUCAUAAAUUCACUGUGGUUCUGUGGUUACAGGUGUUCUGAAGUGUUCUACUGUAACAGCACUGCAGCCCCUAAUGCAAAUCCUGUGUUUCAAAUUCCCAGUGUGAGCUGACAGCUGGUUACAAGUCAGUUAUUGUGGGCUGUGAUUUGUCUCCUGUAUCCUCAAAAGAUUCAAAAGCACUGAGUGUUUGCAAAAGUAGCGAGCCAGAGCAGUGCACACCUCCAUAUGUGGUAUGACAAAGUGACUGAAUGGCUUGUAUUUUCAUGGUAAGGCCUUGCAGAUUUAUAGCUGCCGCAGCUUUAAUGAUGAAUAAGAGCUACCCACACAAAGAAAGAGAUCUAAUGAUGACUGAAGGCAAGUGAAAUUGAAUAUAUGCUCCUUAUACGGCAGUGUGUGGGAGACACAUUUGUAACAUACUGAGUAUGUGAGCAAAACCAUGUGU